GGCUCAGGACGAACGCUGGCGGCGUGCCUAACACAUGCAAGUCGAGCGAUGAAAUCCUUCGGGAUGGAUUAGCGGCGGACGGGUGAGUAACACGUGGGUAACCUGCCUUGUAGAGGGGGAUAGCCUUCCGAAAGGAAGAUUAAUACCGCAUAACAUCUUUUUAUCGCAUGGUAGAAAGAUCAAAGGAGUAAUCCGCUACAAGAUGGACCCGCGGCGCAUUAGCUAGUUGGUGAGGUAACGGCUCACCAAGGCGACGAUGCGUAGCCGACCUGAGAGGGUGAUCGGCCACAUUGGAACUGAGACACGGUCCAGACUCCUACGGGAGGCAGCAGUGGGGAAUAUUGCGCAAUGGGGGGAACCCUGACGCAGCAACGCCGCGUGAAUGAAGAAGGCCUUAGGGUUGUAAAGUUCUGUUUACGGGGACGAUAAUGACGGUACCCGUGGAGGAAGCCACGGCUAACUACGUGCCAGCCGCCGC
rnacentral:rRNA from 1 species